GAUGAACGCUGGCGGCGUGCCUAAUACAUGCAAGUCGAGCGAACAGAUAAGGAGCUUGCUCCUUUGACGUUAGCGGCGGACGGGUGAGUAACACGUGGGUAACCUACCUAUAAGACUGGAAUAACUCCGGGAAACCGGGGCUAAUGCCGGAUAACAUUUAGAACCGCAUGGUUCUAAAGUGAAAGAUGGUUUUGCUAUCACUUAUAGAUGGACCCGCGCCGUAUUAGCUAGUUGGUAAGGUAACGGCUUACCAAGGCAACGAUACGUAGCCGACCUGAGAGGGUGAUCGGCCACACUGGAACUGAGACACGGUCCAGACUCCUACGGGAGGCAGCAGUAGGGAAUCUUCCGCAAUGGGCGAAAGCCUGACGGAGCAACGCCGCGUGAGUGAUGAAGGUCUUCGGAUCGUAAAACUCUGCUAUUAGGGAAGAACAAAUGUGUAAGUAACUGUGCACGUCUUGACGGUACCUAAUCAGAAAGCCACGGCUAACUACGUG
rnacentral:rRNA from 1 species